rnacentral:rRNA from 1 species
UACGAAGGGGGCUAGCGUUGCUCGGAAUUACUGGGCGUAAAGGGCGCGUAGGCGGAUGUUUAAGUCGGGGGUGAAAGCCCAGGGCUCAACCCUGGAAUUGCCUUUCGAUACUGGACAUCUUGAGUACGGGAGAGGUGAGUGGAACUCCGAGUGUAGAGGUGAAAUUCGUAGAUAUUCGGAAGAACACCAGUGGCGAAGGCGACUCACUGGCCCGUUACUGACGCUGAUGCGCGAAAGCGUGGGGAGCAAACAGG